UAAUUUGAGAGUUUGAUCCUGGCUCAGGACGAACGCUGGCGGCGUGCCUAAUACAUGCAAGUCGAACGAACUCUGGUAUUGAUUGGUGCUUGCAUCAUGAUUUACAUUUGAGUGAGUGGCGAACUGGUGAGUAACACGUGGGAAACCUGCCCAGAAGCGGGGGAUAACACCUGGAAACAGAUGCUAAUACCGCAUAACAACUUGGACCGCAUGGUCCGAGUUUGAAAGAUGGCUUCGGCUAUCACUUUUGGAUGGUCCCGCGGCGUAUUAGCUAGAUGGUGGGGUAACGGCUCACCAUGGCAAUGAUACGUAGCCGACCUGAGAGGGUAAUCGGCCACAUUGGGACUGAGACACGGCCCAAACUCCUACGGGAGGCAGCAGUAGGGAAUCUUCCACAAUGGACGAAAGUCUGAUGGAGCAACGCCGCGUGAGUGAAGAAGGGUUUCGGCUCGUAAAACUCUGUUGUUAAAGAAGAACAUAUCUGAGAGUAACUGUUCAGGUAUUGACGGUAUUUAACCAGAAAGCCACGGCUAACUACGUGCCAGCAGCCGCGGUAAUACGUAGGUGGCAAGCGUUGUCCGGAUUUAUUGGGCGUAAAGCGAGCGCAGGCGGUUUUUUAAGUCUGAUGUGAAAGCCUUCGGCUCAACCGAAGAAGUGCAUCGGAAACUGGGAAACUUGAGUGCAGAAGAGGACAGUGGAACUCCAUGUGUAGCGGUGAAAUGCGUAGAUAUAUGGAAGAACACCAGUGGCGAAGGCGGCUGUCUGGUCUGUAACUGACGCUGAGGCUCGAAAGUAUGGGUAGCAAACAGGAUUAGAUACCCUGGUAGUCCAUACCGUAAACGAUGAAUGCUAAGUGUUGGAGGGUUUCCGCCCUUCAGUGCUGCAGCUAACGCAUUAAGCAUUCCGCCUGGGGAGUACGGCCGCAAGGCUGAAACUCAAAGGAAUUGACGGGGGCCCGCACAAGCGGUGGAGCAUGUGGUUUAAUUCGAAGCUACGCGAAGAACCUUACCAGGUCUUGACAUACUAUGCAAAUCUAAGAGAUUAGACGUUCCCUUCGGGGACAUGGAUACAGGUGGUGCAUGGUUGUCGUCAGCUCGUGUCGUGAGAUGUUGGGUUAAGUCCCGCAACGAGCGCAACCCUUAUUAUCAGUUGCCAGCAUUAAGUUGGGCACUCUGGUGAGACUGCCGGUGACAAACCGGAGGAAGGUGGGGAUGACGUCAAAUCAUCAUGCCCCUUAUGACCUGGGCUACACACGUGCUACAAUGGAUGGUACAACGAGUUGCGAACUCGCGAGAGUAAGCUAAUCUCUUAAAGCCAUUCUCAGUUCGGAUUGUAGGCUGCAACUCGCCUACAUGAAGUCGGAAUCGCUAGUAAUCGCGGAUCAGCAUGCCGCGGUGAAUACGUUCCCGGGUCUUGUACACACCGCCCGUCACACCAUGAGAGUUUGUAACACCCAAAGUCGGUGGGGUAACCUUUUAGGAACCAGCCGCCUAAGGUGGGACAGAUGAUUAGGGUGAAGUCGUAACAAGGUAGCCGUAGGAGAACCUGCGGCUGGAUCACCUCCUUU
rnacentral:rRNA from 1 species